GAGGCAGCAGUCGAGAAUAAUUCACAAUGGGGGGAACCCUGAUGGUGCAACGCCGCGUGGAGGAUGACGGUCUUCGGAUUGUAAACUCCUGUCAUCUGGGAGUAAGACCUGGCUGUUAAUAGCAGACAGGGUUGAUAGUACCAGAAGAGGAAGGGACGGCUAACUUCGUGCCAGCAGCCGCGGUAAUACGAAGGUCCCGAGCGUUGUUCGGAAUCACUGGGCGUAAAGGGAGCGUAGGCGGCGCGGUAAGUCAGAUGUGAAAUCCCGGGGCUCAACCCCGGAACUGCAUCCGAUACUGCCGUGCUAGAGGAUUGGAGAGGUAGCUGGAAUUCUUGGUGUAGCAGUGAAAUGCGUAGAUAUCAAGAGGAACACUCGUGGCGAAAGCGAGCUACUGGACAACUCCUGACGCUGAGGCUCGAAGGCUAGGGUAGCGAAAGGGAUUAGAUACCCCUGUAGUCCUAGCAGUAAACGGUGCACGCUUGGUGUGAGGGGAAUCGACCCCCCUUGUGCCGGAGCUAACGCGUUAAGCGUGCCGCCUGGGAAGUACGGUCGCAAGACUAAAACUCAAAGAAAUUGACGGGGACCCGCACAAGCGGUGGAGUAUGUGGCUUAAUUCGAUGCAACGCGAAGAACCUUACCAAGGCUUGACAUGGAUUUCUAAGCACGUGAAAGCGUGUGACCCUUCGGGGAACUUCCACAGGUGCUGCAUGGCCGUCGUCAGCUCGUGUCGUGAGAUGUUGGGUUAAGUCCCGCAACGAGCGCAACCCUUGUGAUUAGUUGCCAGCACGUUAUGGUGGGAACUCUAAUCAGACUGCCCAGAUCAACUGGGAGGAAGGUGGGGACGACGUCAGGUCAGUAUGGCCCUUACGCCUUGGGCUGCACACGUACUACAAUGCCUAGCACAAUGAGAACCGAUACCGCGAGGUGGAGGAAAUCUAUAAAACUGGGCCCAGUUCGGAUUGGAGGCUGCAACUCGCCUCCAUGAAGUUGGAAUCGCUAGUAAUGGCACAUCAUCUACGGUGCCGUGAAUACGUUCCCGGGCCUUGUACACACCGC
rnacentral:rRNA from 1 species